GAUGAAGAACGUAGCGAAAUGCGAUAAGUAAUGUGAAUUGCAGAAUUCAGUGAAUCAUCGAAUCUUUGAACGCACAUUGCGCCCGCCAGUAUUCUGGCGGGCAUGCCUGUUCGAGCGUCAUUACAACCCUCAGGCCCCCGGGCCUGGCGUUGGGGAUCGGCGGAAGCCCCCUGCGGGCACAACGCCGUCCCCCAAAUACAGUGGCGGUCUCGCUGCAGCCUCCCUUGCGUAGUAGCACACCUCGCACCGGAGCGCAGCGCGGCCACGCCGUAAAACCCCCGACUUUCUGAGUUUGACCUCGAAUCAGGUAGGAAUACCCGCUGAACUUAAGCAUAUCAAUAAGCGGAGGA
rnacentral:misc_RNA from 1 species